AGCGAACGUUAGCGGCGCGCCUAACACAUGCAAGUCGCACGAGAAAGGGGGCAACCCCCGGUACAGUGGCGCACGGGUGAGUAACACGUGGGUGAUCUGCCCAGAAGAAGGGGAUAACCUCUCGAAAGGGGGGCUAAUACCGCAUAGGACCACCGGGGCUUUGGCUCUGUGGUGAAAGGGGGCCUCUGUUUACAAGCUCCUGCUUCUGGAUGAGCCCGCGUCCCAUCAGCUAGUUGGUAGGGUAAUGGUCUACCAAGGCUACGACGGGUAGCUGGUCUAAGAGGAUGGCCAGCCACACUGGAACUGAGACACGGUCCAGACUCCUACGGGAGGCAGCAGUGGGGAAUCUUGCGCAAUGGGCGAAAGCCUGACGCAGCGACGCCGCGUGGGUGACGAAGGCCUUCGGUUCGUAAGACCC
rnacentral:rRNA from 1 species